CCUACGGGAGGCAGCAGUGAGGAAUAUUGGUCAAUGGACGCAAGUCUGAACCAGCCAUGCCGCGUGCAGGAAGACGGCUCUAUGAGUUGUAAACUGCUUUUGUACGAGGGUAAAUCCCGAUACGUGUAUCGUGUUGAAAGUAUCGUACGAAUAAGGAUCGGCUAACUCCGUGCCAGCAGCCGCGGUAAUACGGAGGAUUCAAGCGUUAUCCGGAUUUAUUGGGUUUAAAGGGUGCGUAGGCGGUUCGAUAAGUUAGAGGUGAAAUCCCGGGGCUCAACCCCGGCACUGCCUUUGAUACUGGCGGGCUAGAGUUUAGUUGCGGUAGGCGGAAUGUAUGGUGUAGCGGUGAAAUGCAUAGAGAUCAUACAGAACACCGAUUGCGAAGGCAGCUUACCAAACUACGACUGACGUUGAGGCACGAAAGCGUGGGGAGCAAACAGGAUUAGAUACCCUGGUAGUC
rnacentral:rRNA from 1 species